UGACCUCGGAUCGGUAGGGAUACCGCUGACUUAAGCA
rnacentral:rRNA from 1 species